rnacentral:misc_RNA from 1 species
UUUCCGAGGUGAACCUGCGGAAGGAUCAUUAAUAAAUGGUCUACGUUUUUUAAGUAGACGCUUAAUAUCUACCCUUUGUGAAUUGUUGUUGAAAUAAUUUUUUUAAAAUAUUGAUUGUCUUUCCCUGUUGAAUUGGUUGUCUUAAUGGCAAAUGAUCGCAGGGGAGUGUCAGUAAUUUUUAAAAAGACCUUUUUUAAAAUUAAACUUUUUUGUAUUCAUUUGUCUAAAAUUAUUUUAUAAUAUAAAACAACUUUUGACAAUGGAUCUCUUGGUUCUCGCAACGAUGAAGAACGCAGCAAAAUGCGAUAAGUAGUGUGAAUUGCAGAAUACGUGAAUCAUCGAAUCUUCGAACGCAUAUUGCACUUUUUUAGUUUACCAAAAAGUAUGUCUGUUUGAGUAUCAGUAAAUAUUCUCAUAAAACUUUUGUUUUUAUGGUUAUGAGUGUUUACAACGAUACAAGUUGUUUCACUUUAAAUUUUUUUAAAUUUGAAUUUUCUAAUUUUAAAUAAAUUGGAUAAAAUUUCCCGUAAAAAGGAAUAACCUAAACAAUUUAAUUUUGAUUAGAAUUCUUCAAUUAUAAAGGAAAAUUAACUAAUAACUUGAUCUCAAUCAGAUAAGAGUACCCGCUGAACUUAAGCAUAUCAAUAAGCGGAGGAAAGAAACUAACAAGAUUCCCUUAGUACGGCGAGUGAAGCGGAAGAGCUCAAAUUGAAAUCUUCAAGGUUUACCUUGACGAAUUGUAGUUUAAAGAAGUGUUUCUGUUGAAGUUUUGGUAAAAGUUCUUGGAAUAGGACAUCAGAGGGUGAGAAUCCCGUAUUGACCAUUAUUUCAGCUGUGUGAUACACUUUCAAAGAGUCGGAUUGUUUGGGAAUGCAGUCCAAAAUGGGUGGUAAAUUUCAUCUAAGCUAAAUAUUGGCGAGAGACCGAUAGCGAACAAGUACCGUGAGGGAAAGAUGAAAAGAACUUUGAAAGAGAGUUAGACAGUACGUGAAAUUGUCAAAAGGGAAGCGUUUGACACCAGUGUUGUUUUCUCGAAAAUCAAUUAAAAAAGUUGGAUUUUGUGUUGUAUUGACCUUAACAGCUUGCUUCACUCUUUUCUUGCUUUUUUUAAUGCACUUUUCGUUUAACAAGUCAACAUCAGUUUCUUUUGUGUAAAAGGGUCAUUGGAAGGUGGCUUUCUCUUCGGAGAAAGUGUUUAUAGCCUUUGAUCUCUGCAAUCGGAGAGACUGAGGUCUGCAGCGUAGAUCCUUCGGGUUAGAUACAUUUGUGCUAAGCUACAGCUUUCAUAGACAACUUGUUGACUAUGUUUAGUCUUGUAACUUACCCGCUUAUGCUAUUU